rnacentral:rRNA from 1 species
AACGAACGCUGGCGGCAUGCCUAACACAUGCAAGUCGAACGAGACCUUCGGGUCUAGUUGCGCUCGGGUGCGUAACGCGUGGGAACCUGCCCUUAGGUUAGGAAUAAUUCACCUUAGGGUGUGCUAAUGCAGGAUAAUGUCUUCGGACAAAAGAGUUCUGGCGUUUGGGUGGGCCCGCGUUGGAUUAGCUAGUUGGUAGGGGAAAAGCCGAGCAAGGCGAGGAUCCAUAGCUGGUCUGAGACGAAGAUCAGCCACACUGGGACUGAGGCACGGCCCAGACUCCUACGGGAGGCAGCAGAGGGGAAUAUAAGACAAUGAGGGAAAGCGUGAUACAGCAGCGCCGCGGAAGUGAUGCAGGCGUUAGGGUUGUGAAGCUCUUUUACACGGGAUGAUAGUGACGGUACCGGGAGAAUAAGCACCGGCUAACUCCGUG